CUAAUACAUGCAAGUCGAGCGCAGGAAGCUGACGGAACUCUUCGGAGGGAAGGCAGUGGAAUGAGCGGCGGACGGGUGAGUAACACGUAAGGAACCUGCCUCAAGGAUUGGGAUAACUCCGAGAAAUCGGAGCUAAUACCGGAUAGUUCAACGGACCGCAUGGUCCGCUGAUGAAAGGCGCUUCGGCGUCACCUUGAGAUGGCCUUGCGGUGCAUUAGCUAGUUGGUGGGGUAACGGCCCACCAAGGCGACGAUGCAUAGCCGACCUGAGAGGGUGAUCGGCCACACUGGGACUGAGACACGGCCCAGACUCCUACGGGAGGCAGCAGUAGGGAAUCUUCCACAAUGGACGAAAGUCUGAUGGAGCAACGCCGCGUGAGUGAUGAAGGUUUUCGGAUCGUAAAACUCUGUUGUAAGGGAAGAACACGUACGAGAGGAAAUGCUCGUACCUUGACGGUACCUUACGAGAAAGCCACGGCUAACUACGUGCCAGCAGCCGCGGUAAUACGUAGGUGGCAAGCGUUGUCCGGAAUUAUUGGGCGUAAAGCGCGCGCAGGCGGCCUUUUAAGUCUGAUGUGAAAGCCCCCGGCUCAACCGGGGAGGGCCAUUGGAAACUGGAAGGCUUGAGUACAGAAGAGAAGAGUGGAAUUCCACGUGUAGCGGUGAAAUGCGUAGAGAUGUGGAGGAACACCAGUGGCGAAGGCGACUCUUUGGUCUGUAACUGACGCUGAGGCGCGAAAGCGUGGGGAGCAAACAGGAUUAGAUA
rnacentral:rRNA from 2 species